rnacentral:rRNA from 1 species
CAAUGGUCGCAAGACUGAACGAGCACGCCGCGUGCAGGAGAAGGUUUUCGGAUCGUAAACUGCUUUUCUGUGGGAAGAGAACGGACGGUACCACAGGAAGAAGCCCCGGCUAACUACGUGCCAGCAGCCGCGGUAAUACGUAGGGGGCGAGCGUUGUCCGGAGUUACUGGGCGUAAAGGGCGUGCAGGCGGUGUGGUAAGUUUAGAGUGACAGUAUCCGGCUUAACUGGAUAAGGCCUCUGAAAACUGCCAGACUUGAGGGCCAGAGAGGGACAUAGAAUUCCGGGUGGAGUGGUGAAAUGCGUAGAUAUCCGGAGGAAUACCAAAGGCGAAGGCAGUGUCCUGGCUGGCAACUGACGCUGAGGCGCGAAAGCUAGGGGAGCGAACAGGAUUAGAUACCCUGGUAGUCCUAGCCGUAAACGAUGACCACUAGAUGUGCGGGGUAUCGACCCCCUGCGUGUCGGAGUUAACAUUUUAAGUGGUCCGCCUGGGGAGUACGG